GAUGAACGCUAGCGGCAGGCUUAACACAUGCAAGUCGAGGGGUAGAGGCUUUCGGGCCUUGAGACCGGCGCACGGGUGCGUAACGCGUAUGCAAUCUGCCUUGUACUGGGGGAUAGCCCAGAGAAAUUUGGAUUAAUACCCCAUAGUAUUUUCGGUUGGCAUCAACUGAUUAUUAAAGUUUUUCGGUACAAGAUGAGCAUGCGUCCCAUUAGCUAGUUGGUAUGGUAACGGCAUACCAAGGCUACGAUGGGUAGGGGUCCUGAGAGGGAGAUCCCCCACACUGGUACUGAGACACGGACCAGACUCCUACGGGAGGCAGCAGUGAGGAAUAUUGGUCAAUGGUCGCAAGACUGAACCAGCCAUGCCGCGUGCAGGAUGAGGCAUCUAUGGUGUGUAAACUGCUUUUGUACGGGAAUAAACACUCCUACGUGUAGGAGCUUGACGGUACCGUAAGAGUAAGGAUCGGCUAACUCCGUGCCAGCCGCCGCGGUAAAAC
rnacentral:rRNA from 1 species